UUUAAUACUAUAUAAUUAUCUCCUCACAUGGAUGUUUUACCUCUUGGUAUGAGCUAAUAAAUAUCCAUAAAAGAUUCUUUUCUUUAAAAUGCAAUCCAAAAACAUGAGGUAAAGUUAAUCUAUAAUUUGUAUCGGUUGCUUCUGAAUGUAAAUUGCUCCAACCUCAAGUACAAGUUAGAUCACAAGUCUAAACUCCUAAAAGGACUUUGCACAAAUCCUAGCAUAGGAUGGCUUAAUGCUUUGAUAGCACUUCUAUCAUACCUCAACUCCACCGCCUUAAGACUUUAUUAAUAGUGAAGUCCCUAACUCACGUCAGGACUCAUUCAGUGCCUAAUUUAAAGAUCAACAAUAGAUUUUGUUUACUGCAGAGACAUUUUUACAAUUCAUCAUUGUGCAGUGGAAAUUAAGUUCUACUCAAAUUCACUAGAUUUUGUACAUCUUUAAUACACAUAAGUACCAUUAAACAGAUAAAUCACAACAUAAUGGAAGGAUAUGGUACUGAUUGUCAGUGACGAUCUGGUUCCACCUUAUACCACCAUCAUGCGUUCAGCCUUUUUCUUCAACAAUCAUUUAGGUCAAUUCCAAAACUGCUUUUCACUCUUGGCCCAAUAAAUGGACAAUCUCCUGCCCAAGUCGUGGGUUGUGGACCAAUGUGUGAAAUGAUGUUCAACAUAACCCUUUGCUUGCUCGAUGGAUUAAGGCACAUUAUUGACAUAACACUAGCACUAAUGCGAUAAAGUACACAACUGGUAUGAUCAAGUACAAGUAAUCACGAUACAAUUCUUUGGCAAAACAAUUUGUGAACAUUUUCUGGUGCGAUAAAGUACACAACCAGCAAAAGGUUUAUUGUACUUGCGAGCCAAUGCAAUCAAUCACUUUUCGGUGUGAUAGAGUAUACAUCCGGAUUCAUAAGGACAAUAGUGCAUAUGCAAAUAGCAAUGUGGAAAGUUUGUUCACCUUAAAUAAGAAUUUAUCAUUUAAACAAGAUAAAUGCAUACAUCAUAAUAGUUUUUAAACACUCGAGACUAGCAAUCAUUAAUUUCAAUUUAUCUUCUUUUAGCAUUAGGCUAACACAACUAUUGCUAUGGAUGCACAUCAGUAACUAUAUGUUUAAUAUGUAAUAAGAAAGCUAUUAGAUAAUAACUAUAUGAAUGCAAUAUUAUCACUACUGAAUGCAAUGGACACUUACAUGGAUUUUCUUAUCUAAGGUUGACUUGUCAAUGUCUCAAUACCAUCCUGCUGUCAUUCUUUUUUUUUUUAUACUCUCUUCCUUCCCUUUUUCACACCGUCGUCCACUCGCCUUACAUUCAACUACAAAUUUAUGUUAGUGGUUCUUUGCCUUUGGUGUUACAAAUGGAAGAAAAAAGUCUUUAUUUAUAGGAUUACUUGAAGGAAAUUAGUCAGCAUUAGAAGAAUAUGGAGUGACACGUGUCAUGCCCGUUGCAUACGUGCACCAAACACGUCAAGCAUAGGACACUUGUCAUGGACACGUGUUUAUGGAAAAGAAUGAUAGCACAACUUUUGGUAAUUGUAAGUUGUUCCUUCAGGUUUAAUCUAACUGCAUUCAAGCCAUAAGAAAAUUA
rnacentral:lncRNA from 1 species